rnacentral:rRNA from 1 species
UACGGAGGGAGCUAGCGUUGUUCGGAAUUACUGGGCGUAAAGAGUACGUAGGCGGUUAUUCAAGUCAGAGGUGAAAGCCUGGAGCUCAACUCCAGAACUGCCUUUGAAACUAGAUAGCUAGAAUUAUGGAGAGGUUAGUGGAAUUCCGAGUGUAGAGGUGAAAUUCGUAGAUAUUCGGAAGAACACCAGUGGCGAAGGCGACUAACUGGACAUAUAUUGACGCUGAGGUACGAAAGCGUGGGGAGCAAACAGG